rnacentral:lncRNA from 1 species
UUUUGUUUUCUCAUUUUUUCUUUUUUUUUUUCUCUUCUUUGUGUGCUAUUGUUUGUUUUUAUUUGUUGCAGGUAUGGAGGCUAGCUGGCGUGUGGAGGUGGAGGGGACGUGGUGUGUACGGAGGAAGUGGGCGUGGCGUGUAUGGAGGCGCGGACAUUGUAUGUACGGAGGCGCGCGUGGUAGUGUGUGGAGGCCACUGUUGCGGCGACUGGGAUCUCAGAAACCCUAGGUUUUUUGUUUGGGGUUUUGGGCUAGGGGUAUUCGGGUUUGAUUUUAGUUGGGUCGUGUUUAGUUUGGGCCAGGGUCUAGGUAAAGUGGGGUUAAAUUUUAGUGGGUUAAUAACUUGUAUUGGACUAUUUUUAUUGGACUUUUGAUUUUAAUUUUAUUUAUUUGGCUUUUUAUUUUUAUUUACUUAUUUUUUUAUAUGCAUAUGGGCCGGGGAUAAAUUGGGUAUUACAGCAGCCCCUCUUUACUCAUUGUCGUGUAACAGGAACGGAGCAAAGACUCAAAACAUGGCCAAU